rnacentral:sRNA from 1 species
GUACAGCUCCGCGCGGCGCGAGCAGGUACGUGCGCCUCGGCAGUGGCUCCGGGCCGGGCCGGGAAGGGGGCGGGAGACCGGGAGGGCGAGGCGGUGGCGGCCAGGCCCGCGCCCUCCGGGCUGCGCCGCAGGAGAGACCCCCGCAGGCGUACGCCGGCUGCAGGAAGGCGGACGGGCACCGGAGAGGACGCACCCUCGCCCGCCGGCGGCCGGGCGCCCUUCGCCCCAGCGUGGUGAGGCGGGGAGGGAGGCCCGGCACAGCUGCCAAGGGGCCAAGGGAUGAGCUGGGGCCCUCCUUCCCAAUGGCAUCUCCCCCUGGUCUGGAACUGAAGACACUGAGCAAUGGUCCCCAAGCCCCAAGGAGAUCAGCUCCCCUGGGCCCAGUGGCCCCAACCAGGGAGGGUGUGGAGAAUGCCUGCUUCUCCUCAGAGGAGCAUGAGACCCAUUUCCAGAACCCUGGGAACACGAGACUGGGCAGCUCACCCAGUCCCCUUGGAGGUGUCUCCUCACUGCCCCGAUCCCAGCGGGAUGAUCUGUCCCUUCAUUCAGAGGAGGGGCCAGCCCU